CAAGCUAACAGUCAUCAUCUUGAAUCAAUUCGACAAUCUACUGUAAAAUCCUUUUCAAUCCUUGUCAUAUGAAGAGAAAUUAUGAAGAGAAAUUAUAGAUAAAAUGUUUCGGUGCUCAUCGGCCAUUGGACAUAAACAACAAGUUGGAACUUGCAAAUUCAACAAUGAGUGGUUUGGAAGGAAUCGGUGGCUAACUGCAAGCAUUGCAAAGCAAUCACUAGCCUGCUCUUCAGUGGAGUGGAUGUGUGGUCCAAGUCUGAGUUUAAGAGUCUCUUUUCCAAGCUUAAAAGGAUAAACAUUCAACAUUGGCCAUGCUGUCAAUCCAGAAUGACUUCUGCCCCUUUCAAAACAACUGGAAACUCAGAAUUGGGAAAUCUCAGACUUCAGUGAGUUCAAGACCUCUGAAAAAAACGAGCUCCGACUGGGAAAAUACAUUUUGAACGGUCAUCCAACUCGGAAUUCCAACCUGCCUCUAUCUAGAACUCCAACCUAAAGAUCACUAAUGUCAUGAUUCAACCUUGUUUUUUUCUGAAUCCCCUGCUGUCUUGAAAGCACCAUAAAUCCAGAGAAUGCCAGACUUUGAUGGCAAAGUUUGAUGACAAAAUUUGCCCACGAAGGAGCGCAGUGCCACAUUCCUGUUCAAGUGAACACAGCACAACAAUCUCCAAGGCAUAGUGAUUGGUCUCUGCUAUGUCUCCCACCAGCUCCUCUGUCAGAAAGAACAGAUGGAAAUGGCAAGGGGCGUUGCACUCCAGACUGGGACUCAUCAAAGCAAACAGCAGGGCCAGGAGGGGUGAAAUGGCUGGCAGCCUUCCAGCUACCACAGUACUCCUGAUCCAUUGUCGGUCUGCUUCCAACACCAUCAGCAUCUUCAAAGGGAACUGGAACUUUGUCAGUGGUAUAGGGGUCCUCAGAUUCAGGGUUCUCAAUGGCUGGGGGGCAGCUCCUCACUGUCAGAAUCUGAUUCCUGGCUUUCAGACUCAUUGUCAGAAUUGUUUUAAAUCUCCAGAAUUUCCUAAUUUGUGAGUUGUCUCCUUUUGAAAGACAUUGCUAAUGCUACAGCUUAGCUCACUAGCUACAUACAUAGACAACAACACUAAAUGGCUCGGAGUGAGCGGUUACGUGAUUGACUGCCUGCACACGCCAUUUGUAUCAAUAAAUCACUAUCAGAAAAUGUUUUGU
ensembl:lncRNA